rnacentral:tRNA from 2 species
AAAAAACCAUAGGGACUCCCUAAUUCUUUAUCCUCUCCUUUUAUCCUUUUUUUUUUAGCGGCUCAAAAUUCGUUAUCUUUCU